rnacentral:rRNA from 1 species
GUAGGGGUCCAAGCGUUAAUCGGAAUUACUGGGCGUAAAGCGUGCGUAGGCGGUUGUGCAAGACCGAUGUGAAAUCCCCGGGGCUUAACCUGGGAAUUGCAUUGGUGACUGCACGGCUAGAGUGUGUCAGAGGGGGGUAGAAUUCCACGUGUAGCAGUGAAAUGCGUAGAGAUGUGGAGGAAUACCGAUGGCGAAGGCAGCCCCCUGGGAUAACACUGACGCUCAUGCACGAAAGCGUGGGGAGCAAACAGGAUUAGAUACCCUGGUAGUCCACGCCCUAAACGAUGUCAACUAGUUGUUGGGGAUUCAUUUCCUUAGUAACGUAGCUAACGCGUGAAGUUGACCGCCUGGGGAGUACGGUCGCAAAGAUUA